rnacentral:sRNA from 1 species
AUGUACCCCCGUACACUCCGGUUCCCUCCGCGCCGUCCGCACCCCACCUGACGA